AAUUAGUUUUUAUGUAUCCCUUAAAAAAUGUCCCUUAAUAAGGGUUUUACUGUACUAUCAUUGUGAAAGUACACAUUUUUCUGCCUUAUUUUCAAGCAUGUGUACAACAUCUCAGUGUAACUCACGGACAUGUUUCGGCGUUAUAAUAUGAUAUAUAAAAGAACGAUCGUACGUAAAUAUGAAAAUUUAAACCAUUUGUUUUAGAUUUUUCCUAUUAACUCUUUAGAACCGGCAUCGUGAUACCGAAAAGGAGCAUGCGCAUUGCUUAUGGUUACGAAAUAUGUUUGACAAAUCAGAGCCAAGAUGCGCAGGAUAAACAAGAAAGUAGUCGUUUCAGAAGUCUGUUCCUACGUGGACUGAAAUGUACUUGAAACUACGUAUCGCUUCGUGAUGCGAUAAUUAUAAAUUACUAUGAUUGCUCAAAUCAAAAAUAAUAUACCACAUUUAACACAAAAUCAUUGUGCACUUUUUCGAACUAUCCAAUGUACUAACGCUAAAGUUUAUAGCGCAAAUUUAAAAAUCUGUGAAAAUAUAACCUAGUUAACCUGAGAAGAAAACACACAAAUGUCAACAUUAUGCUCAGUGGACGUACUGAAAAUGUGAUCUCAUCGGCAAAAUAGUAUUUGUCAUAUUCACCCAAACCAGAUGCAAAAGUAAAUCCGUGUUUCCCAUUGUCCAAAGCAGCUAAACAUGUUUCCAAAACUUUUCUUGUAGGAUUGCCACUUCUACUAUAAUCAAAACCCUGAAAGGUCCAUCUUGACGAUAAGUAGUGGACAUUGAAAUAGGAGGUAUUAUUGCACAAUGAUUCCAUUGUAAUGGAUCUUGUCCAGCAUGUAUGGCU